AAUCCUGUAUAUCUUAUACUUGUCAUUUAAUGUUGUUUCCUUGUAUAUCUUUCUAGCUCUGAAAAAAACAAAAACAGAUAAGGAAAAAGAAGUUAAGAAGAAACUUCUGAAAAAGGAGAACAAAGGAGUCUCACCAGUAAAAGAAGCUCCACGACAUCACAACCUGACAUCAGCUUUGUUGUCUUCAACAAUGGAGAACAGAAUUUUACAUCAAAUCAUCCAGACUAUUUU
ensembl:lncRNA